GUCGAACGCUGGCGGCGUGCUUAACACAUGCAAGUCGAACGGUGAAGCGCCUUCCUUUUUGGUGGGUGUGGAUGAGUGGCGAACGGGUGAGUAACACGUGAGUAACCUGCCCCCUUCUUCUGGAUAACCGCAUGAAAGUGUGGCUAAUACGGGAUAUUCUGGGUCUGUCGCAUGAUGGGUCUGGGAAAGAUAUUGUUUCGGUGGGGGAUGGGCUCGCGGCCUAUCAGCUUGUUGGUGGGGUGAUGGCCUACCAAGGCGGUGACGGGUAGCCGGCCUGAGAGGGUGGACGGUCACACUGGGACUGAGACACGGCCCAGACUCCUACGGGAGGCAGCAGUGGGGAAUAUUGCACAAUGGGCGCAAGCCUGAUGCAGCGACGCCGCGUGAGGGAUGGAGGCCUUCGGGUUGUGAACCUCUUUCGCCAGUGAAGCAGGCCUGCCUCGUUUGUGGGUGGGUUGACGGUAGCUGGAUAAGAAGCGCCGGCUAACUACGUG
rnacentral:rRNA from 1 species